GGCAAAGCCAAUCAAACACACACUCGAGCUAGCUGAUUUCCCAUUUGACAGUAUAAAAGGACUCGCGUGAGGCCAUUAGAAGCUGUUCAACAAUCUUAGGAAAAGAGAGCCACAUUUGAUACCAGCACUUUGUUAAGUUCUCCUGCUCACCAGGAUAUCAAUUUGUUGACCUCGCUCCCGACAGAGUAUUUGAAAUGUAAGACAAGACGUCACUGUGAGAAGAAUGGCCACAACGAAGACGCUGCUUCCGUAUCUCAUUCUCUUUGCCAUAUUGGUAUUGAACGGUAACUGUAGACCUCAAAACACACACGCCAACGUAACUCUGAGAGAACGAAGCCGAAGUGAUUAUGAAUAUUGCCUGAAACAAAGUUGCAAUGUCAUAUGUCCACCGCCUUGCGCAUGCCCGAGCCUUUUCUAUCGAUGGCUCGGAUACAGAGGAUGUACAAUUGGAGACUGAAAUUGUCAAAAAAAAAACGCUAGAGUGAAAUAAACUAUCACAAGCAAACUUCAUGCUUUCA